GUAGCUCAGUGGUAGAGUGCUUGCCUAGCACGCGUGAGGCUCUGGGUUCCAUCCCCAGC
rnacentral:tRNA from 1 species